rnacentral:misc_RNA from 1 species
AAGUCGUAACAAGGUUUCCGUAGGUGAACCUGCGGAAGGAUCAUUACCAAUAUAGCGAACCGAGCGUUAGCGAGGCUUCGCGAUCAAUUUGUAUUUAAAACCCAACUCUUUAAAUGUAUAUUAUAUUGUAUUUUAAAUAAUAAAAAGAUCACUUUCAACAACGGAUCUCUUGGCUCUC